UACCAGGUGGUGGUGAGGAAGGCUCUCUGA
rnacentral:piRNA from 1 species